rnacentral:rRNA from 1 species
GGGCUUGACAUCCCACGAACCUGCCCGAAAGGGUCGGGUGCCCGCAAGGGAGCGUGGAGACAGGUGGUGCAUGGCUGUCGUCAGCUCGUGUCGUGAGAUGUUGGGUUAAGUCCCGCAACGAGCGCAACCCUCACCCCUUGUUGCCACCGGGUCAUGCCGAGCACUCUAGGGGAACUGCCAGCGUCAAGCUGGAGGAAGGCGGGGAUGACGUCAAGUCAUCAUGCCCCUUACACCCUGGACAACACACGUGCUACAAUGGUUGGUACAAAGGGACGCAAGACCGCGAGGUGGAGCUAAUCCCAAAAAACCAGUCUAAGUUCAGAUUGCAGUCUGCAACUCGACUGCAUGAAGGAGGAAUCGCUAGUAAUCGCGCAUCAGCACGGCGCGGUGAAUACGUUCCCGGGCCUUGUACACACCGCCCGUCACACCACGAAAGCCGGCUGUACUCGAAGUCGCUGAG